UCUUACGGGAGGCAGCAGUGGGGAAUUUUGGACAAUGGGCGCAAGCGUGAUCCUGCCCUACGGGGUAUAAGAAGAAGGCCUUCGGGUUGUAAAACAAUUUAAGUCGGGAGGAAGGGAUUUUUUUUUAUAGCAGCAAUUUUUGACGUUACCCACAGAAGAAGCCCCGGCUAACUCCGUGCCAGCAGCCGCGGUAAUACGGAGGGGGCAAGCGUUAUUUGGAAUUACUGGGCGUAAAGCGCACGCAGGCGGCUUUUUAAUUCGGAUGUGAAAGCCCCGGGCUCAACCUGGGAAUUGCAUUUGAAACUGGCAAGUUAGAGUUUGUGAGAGGGGGGUAGAAUUCCAAGUGUAGCGGUGAAAUUCGUAGAAUUUUGGAGGAAUCCCAGUGGGGAAGGCGGCCCCCUGGCACAAUAUUGACGUUCAGGUGCGAAAGCGGUGGGGAGCAAACAGGAUUAGAUACCCUGGUUGUCCACCCCGAAACGAUGUAACUAGUUGUUCGAGGUCUUGAAUCUAGUAGCGCAGUAACGCCUAAGUGACUGCC
rnacentral:rRNA from 1 species